AGAGGGAUAUUUCAACUGGAUAGAGCAGCGGUCUCCAAAAUCGCGGAUCUGGGUUCGAGUCCUAGUCUCUCUGCCA
rnacentral:tRNA from 1 species